AUUUUAUAUAUUACAGUUACUUAUAUACCUACUAUUCCUCUGAUCUUCUUCAAUAUUCCAUAUUUCAGGAAGAAACAUGAAAUUAGAAGAAUCCUGCAAUUAAAUAGGGAACCCUGAAGACUGAUGAUAAGAUACUUCAACUAUCUACAGUGCUUCCUGCAGUGAAAACAUUCGUAGUUAUGCCUUAUUGACAGUACUAAGACUUGCAUGUGUAUAAAUAGCAAGCAUUCAAUACUGAAGGCACCACACACUCUCCUACUCCUGCAAUAUGUAUGUAUAAGUGUACAUGAUCAAUACAGGCCAUAUACAAUUUAUGCAUGUUAAUAAUAAUUGUUGUAUAGCUCCCAUCAUGGCCCAAAUUCACAUUCAUCUUACUGCACCACCAACAGUAGUUAUAAUAUAGAUUGCCUGUACUGCAGCAAAGGUUAAAUGAACAUGUUUUAUUUCUGAUUAAAAUGCAAAUCCUGUAUGAAAUGGAAAAAAGGUUUAUUUGUUUUCUACCACCAGAACAUACUGGGCACAGUUUGUACAAAUCAUUUAUAAAUCUCUUAAACCUUAAAAUACACAGAUGAGAUUCUAGCCAGAAAUUGUCUAUAUCUUAAUGUGCAAUCUCAUCUCACAAAUGUCAUAUUUCUAAUUCCACAGCAGUAAGUUCACUAGUCAUGAAAUC